GUUCCUAUGGUGUUAAGAAAGCACAUUAGAUUUUCAUUCUAAAGGAAUAAAGUGAUUUAUUAGGAAUA
rnacentral:tRNA from 1 species